ensembl:snoRNA SNORD114-15 small nucleolar RNA, C/D box 114-15
UGGAUCGAUGAUGACCACUGGUGGCGUAUAAGUCAUACAUGAUGAAUAUGUGUCUGGAACUCUGAGGUCCUU